AAGGCGGAGAAAGUAAAAUAAAAUGGGGUAUACACAGAGUGAUAACGGAUAGGGGGACAAGAUCAAGGGGAUAGAGGUUAUUAAGGACCCCAAGGCCCCCCACCAAUCCACGGACUAUACAAAACUGCAUUAUAAGCAUAAAAUCCCACAAGGACAUUACAAUAUUGCAUUAUAAGAACAAAAUCCGACAGGGACUAUUACAAGACUGUAUAGAUAAGAAUAGAAUCCUACAAGGGCUAUUACAAUACUGCAUUUAUAAGCAUAAAAUCCUACAAGAACUAUUAUAAUACUGCAUUAAGAAGCAUAAAAUCCUACAAGGACUAUUACAAUACUGCAUAAUAAAAAUAGAAUCCUAC